AUUGAACGCUGGCGGCAUGCCUUACACAUGCAAGUCAAACGGCAGCACGGGAGCAAUCCUGGUGGCGAGUGGCGAACGGGUGAGUAAUGUAUCGGAACGUGCCCAGUCGUGGGGGAUAACGUAGCGAAAGCUACGCUAAUACCGCAUACGAUCUAUGGAUGAAAGCGGGGGAUCGCAAGACCUCGCGCGAUUGGAGCGGCCGAUAUCAGAUUAGGUAGUUGGUGGGGUAAAGGCUCACCAAGCCGACGAUCUGUAGCUGGUCUGAGAGGACGACCAGCCACACUGGGACUGAGACACGGCCCAGACUCCUACGGGAGGCAGCAGUGGGGAAUUUUGGACAAUGGGCGCAAGCCUGAUCCAGCAAUGCCGCGUGCAGGAUGAAGGCCUUCGGGUUGUAAACUGCUUUUGUACGGAACGAAACGGCGAGCUCUAAUACAGUUUGCUAAUGACGGUACCGUAAGAAUAAGCACCGGCUAACUACGUGCCAGCAGCCGCAGUAA
rnacentral:rRNA from 1 species